rnacentral:rRNA from 1 species
GGGCAACCCUGGUGGCGAGUGGCGGACGGGUGAGUAAAGCAUCGGAACGUAUCCUGGAGUGGGGGAUAACGUAGCGAAAGUUACGCUAAUACCGCAUAUUCUGUGAGCAGGAAAGCAGGGGAUCGCAAGACCUUGCGCUCUGGGAGCGGCCGAUGUCGGAUUAGCUAGUUGGUGGGGUAAAGGCCUACCAAGGCGACGAUCCGUAGCGGGUCUGAGAGGAUGAUCCGCCACACUGGGACUGAGACACGGCCCAGACUCCUACGGGAGGCAGCAGUGGGGAAUUUUGGACAAUGGGCGCAAGCCUGAUCCAGCCAUGCCGCGUGAGUGAAGAAGGCCUUCGGGUUGUAAAGCUCUUUCGGCGGGGAAGAAAUUGCACGGGUUAAUACCCUGUGUAGAUGACGGUACCCGAAUAAGAAGCACCGGCUAACUACGUGCCAGCAGCCGCGGUAAUACGUAGGGUGCGAGCGUUAAUCGGAAUUACUGGGCGUAAAGCGUGCGCAGGCGGUUUGGUAAGUCAGAUGUGAAAUCCCCGGGCUCAACCUGGGAACUGCAUUUGAGACUGCCAGGCUGGAGUUUGGCAGAGGGGGGUGGAAUUCCACGUGUAGCAGUGAAAUGCGUAGAGAUGUGGAGGAACACCGAUGGCGAAGGCAGCCCCCUGGGCCAAUACUGACGCUCAUGCACGAAAGCGUGAGGAGCAAACAGGAUUAGAUACCCUGGUAGUCCACGCCCUANACGAUGUCAACUAGGUGUUGGGAGGGUUAAACCUUUUAGUGCCGUAGCUAACGCGUGAAGUUGACCGCCUGGGGAGUACGGCCGCAAGGCUAAAACUNAAAGGAAUUGACGGGGACC